UACGAAGGGAGCUAGCGUUGUUCGGAAUCACUGGGCGUAAAGCGCACGUAGGCGGAUGUGUCAGUCAGGGGUGAAAUCCCGGAGCUCAACUUCGGAACUGCCUUUGAUACAGCACGUCUUGAGUCCGGAAGAGGUGGGUGGAAUUCCUAGUGUAGAGGUGAAAUUCGUAGAUAUCGGGAGGAACACCAGUGGCGAAGGCGACUACCUGGCCUGUUCUUGACGCUGAGGCGCGAAAGCUAGGGGAGCAAACGGG
rnacentral:rRNA from 1 species